AGCACAGUGUGUGCUGCACCUGGUCUGUACCAAGCUGGAGCAGUUUCGCCCGAGCUGCCGUCCUGGUCCUGGGGUCGCGCUGGGCUGCACCUGCGCAGUGUGCGUUUGUCAGGGACCCGCCUGGGCUUUGUGAAAAAGAUCGAGUACAACUCGGGGCCUUCGACGCAGUCCUGCUUCCCUCUGCGUUUCGUUCUGGCCUCUCGGCUGUUCCAGCCCCAGCCUCUAUUGCGUUACUGCGAGGACAGAAAUGCACCACCACUCCCGGCUUCACCAAGAACUAUUUAAGAAGUUUGUUCUUUGCAGCAGUACUGAAAAUAGAAAGCAGAACCUUACACGUGGUAGACUUUCUGCCGUUAGGCUGCACCCCAGCCUGAGUUUGAUGGCUCACGAACCUAUUUAGAACAUUCCUGGCCAGCCUGGGCCACACAGCAAUACCCUAAAAUCAGGCCAGGAAUAGUGGCACGUGCUUGCCAUCUCAGCACUGGGAUAGUGGAGGAAGGAGGAUCAAGCACUUCAAGACCAGCUUGGAGUUUACUAGAUCCAGCAUCAGAAGGAAGAACAAAACCAAAAACUGGUUUCUAAGUUAGUGAAUGGAGUCACUCGCACUAUCGCCCCUUGUCUACCGCAGCCCUGAGGACAGGGAGCUGGGGGGUCACUUACUCCUGCUUGGUACUGUCGGCUGCUUUGCCACUCAGGCCCAGCCAGACUUACCCAGGGAACAUGCCUGAAGGCCAACUACCUUCUCACCCAGGCUUCCAUUAUACAGUACCUGGAAGACCUCUCUUUGAAAGGGGACCCUCCCUGACAAGGAGAGCUGCCAAGGGAUCAUGAGGUGAAAUCACAACACAUUUAAAGAUCUUUGUCUUGCCUGCAAUUUUUGGAGCUCAGGAACUGUAUUUUAUGAGCUAGGAUUUGGGUCCCCAGAUCAGGAGGAGAGAUCAGAUCACAGUGAAGAAGGUCAGGGGGACAUGGAGGCUGGGAUUAGUGUUUUGUAUUUUUGAGUCAGAGUCUGACUUUGUAGCUUUCCCUGGCCUUGAACUCCGAGAUCCUUCUGCCCCCUGCUUCCCAGGUGCUGGGAUUAAGCCAGGCUUGGUGUCUGACAGAUUUUUGCAUGUGAGAAUGGCAGCAGAAAAUUGACACUGGGGUUCUCAAUUCUCUAUUUUUGAAUUUUAAAAAUCUGUGCCUCUUACCAUCCAGAACCAUCUAACUUCCCCAGACUGGGUCUCUCAGCUUGUAGCUUACUGCUUUAUCUGGGCUGGCAGGAAGGGAGGUCUCAGACAUGCAGCCUCCGGGCAAGGAAGUUCAGGCUCUCACGCGUGUUUGCCAAGCUGGUUACUCAACUGUCUUUCUCCUUCCAUCUUUUUUAUUCUUAAACCAAUAAGGGGUUUUAAGUGGCCCAGGAUGUCCUGAACCUUGCUAUGUAGCUGGGGUGACAGUUAUGAAGUGCUGGAGAUGGACCAAGAGCCUUGUACACCCUAAAGGAGCUCCAUCCCUAGCCGUUUCUGAUCUUGACAACUUUCCUGAGUUUAUCUUACUGUGUGAAUAGGUCAGAGCUUGCGCUCAGGUAUGAUGGUGUGGUGGUUUGAAUAUGGUUGGCCCAAGGAGUGGCACUAUUAGGAAGUGUGGCCUUGUUGGAGAGUGUCACUGGAGGGGUGGGCUUUGAGAGACCCUCCACCUAGCUGCCUGGAAAUCAGUCUUCUCCAAGCUGACUUCUGAUCAAGAUGUAGAACUCUUAGCUCCUUCUCGGGCACCACAACUGCCUGGAUGCUGUCAUUCGACCUUGAUGAUAAUGGACUGAACCUCUGAACCUGUAAGCCAGCUCCAAUUAAAUGUUGUCCUUAUAAGA
rnacentral:lncRNA from 1 species